AUUGAACGCUGGCGGCAGGCCUAACACAUGCAAGUCGAGCGGAGCGGCAGACGGGUGAGUAAUGCCUAGGAAUCUGAAUGGUAGUGGGGGAUAACGUCCGGAAACGGGCGCUAAUACCGCAUGAUAUCAGAAGAGCCUAGGUCUGAUUAGCUAGUUGGUGGGGUAAAUGCCUACUAAGGCGACGAUCCGUAAAUGGUCUGAGAGGAUGAGCAGUCACACUGGAACUGAGACACGGUCCAGACUCCUACGGGAGGCAGCAGUGGGGAAUAUUGGACAAUGGGCGAAAGCCUGAUCCAGCCAUGCCGCGUGUGUGAAGAAGGUCUUCGGAUUGUAAAGCACUUUAAGUUGGGAGGCGUUACCAACAGAAUAAGCACCGGCUAACUUCGUGCCAGCAGCCGCGGUAAUAC
rnacentral:rRNA from 1 species